rnacentral:rRNA from 1 species
CCGACAAGCAGCGGAGCAUGUGGUUUAAUUCGACGCAACGCGCAGAACCUUACCUAGGCUUGACAUCCCGGGAAUUUGCUGGAAACAGUGAAGUGCUUUCAUUAGAAAGAGCCCGGUGACAGGUGCUGCAUGGCUGUCGUCAGCUCGUGUCGUGAGAUGUUGGGUUAAGUCCCGCAACGAGCGCAACCCUCGCCUUUAGUUGCCAGCAUUCAGUUGGGCACUCUAAAGGGACUGCCGGUGUCAAACCGGAGGAAGGUGGGAUGACGUCAAGUCCUCAUGGCCUUUAUGUCUAGGGCUACACACGUACUACAAUGGCAGGUACAAAGGGCAGCGGCACAGCGAUGUGAUGCGAAUCCCGAAAAGCCUGUCUCAGUCCGGAUCGGAGUCUGCAACUCGACUCCGUGAACGCGGAAUCGCUAGUAAUCGUGGAUCAGCCAUGCCACGGUGAAUACGUUCCCGGGCCUU